CAGAGGGGGCAAGCGUUAUUCGGAAUUAUUGGGCGUAAAGGGCGCGUAGGCGGCUUAGCAAGUGACGGGUGAAAGCCCUCGGCUUAACCGAGGAACUGCCUGUCAGACUGCAUGGCUUGAGACCAGGAGAGGUGAGUGGAAUUCCCAGUGUAGCGGUGAAAUGCGUAGAUAUUGGGAGGAACACCAGUGGCGAAGGCGGCUCACUGGACUGGUACUGACGCUGAGGCGCGAAAGCGUGGGGAGCAAACAGGAUUAGAUACCCUGGUAGUCCACGCCGUAAACGAUGAGUGCUUGGUGUAGCGGGUAUCGACCCCUGCUGUGCCGAAGUCAACACAUUAUGCACUCCGACCUGGGGAUACGGUCGCAAGACUG
rnacentral:rRNA from 1 species